AACAGAACCAACCGGGUGCGGCUUAUGCUGUGCCUGUUACAUUCUGUGAUGACUCUGGAUAACUUUACUGAUCGCAGUCGGCCUUGUGUGUCGGCGACGGAUCUUUCAAAUGUCUGCCCUAUCAAUUUGUUGGUAGGUGAUUUGCCUACCAUGAUGAUAACGGGUAACGGGGAAUCAGGGUUCGAUUCCGGAGAGGGAGCCUGAGAAAUGGCUACCACAUCCAAGGACGGCAGCAGGCGCGAAAAUUACCCACUCCCAGCACGGGGAGGUAGUGACGAAAAAUACGGAUACGGGACUCAAUUGAGGCUCCGUAAUUCGAAUGAGUACAAUUUAAAUCCUUUAACGAGGACCAAUUGGAGGGCAAGUCUGGUGCCAGCAGCCGCGGUAACUCCAGCUCCAAAAGCGUAUAUUAAAGUUGCUGCAGUUAAAAAGCUCGUAGUUGGAUCUGGGUAGUGCGAUCGCAUGCUGUUGCUUGUUCACGGUCUUGGUUACGAUCAGGGCAGUGGUCAGCUCGGCGUAGUGGUUGUGCAACCUUUCAGCCGUGUCUGUGUUUUAUUAAACAGGUGUCGAUGGGUUAAUGAGUAUUGUAUCUUAUUGACCUGUUGGCAUGCUUUCGGAUGCCUUUAAACGGGUGUCGGGGGCGGACGGCAUCUUUACUUUGAACAAAUUUGAGUGCUCAAAGCAGGCCUAUGCGCCUGAAAAUUCUUGCAUGGAAUAAUGAAAUAGGACUUCGGUUCUAUUUUGUUGGUUUUCGGAUCCGAAGUAAUGGUUAAGAGGGACAGACGGGGGCAUUUGUAUGGCGGUGUUAGAGGUGAAAUUCUGGGAUCGCCGCCAGACAAACUACAGCGAAAGCAUUUGCCAAGAAUGUUUUCAUUGAUCAGGAGCGAAAGUCAGAGUUUCGAAGACGAUCAGAUACCGUCGUAGUUCUGACCAUAAACGAUGCCAACUGACGAUCCGCGUUGGUUCUAUAAUUGACAUCGCGGGCAGUCCCCGGGAAACCUUUAAGUCUUUGGGCUCCGGGGGGAGUAUGGUUGCAAAGCUGAAACUUAAAGGAAUUGACGGAAGGGCACCACCAGGAGUGGAGCCUGCGGUUUAAUUCGACUCAACACGGGAAAACUCACCCGGCCCGGACACUGUGAGGAUUGACAGAUUGAAAGCUCUUUCUUGAUUCGGUGGUUGGUGGUGCAUGGCCGUUCUUAGUUGGUGGAGCGAUUUGUCUGGUUAAUUCCGAUAACGAACGAGACUUUAACCUACUAAAUAGUAGACUGGUCCUCUGUGCUCGUUCAGGGCGCGGCUUCUACUGCUUCUUUAUGGAGUAGUGUGGUCGUGAUCCGACGGGUGCGGUGCCA
rnacentral:rRNA from 1 species